rnacentral:rRNA from 1 species
GUCGAGGGGCACUUCGGUGUCACUGGCGCACGGGUGAGUAACACGUAGGUUAUCUACCCCUAUCACAGACACAACGCUUGGAAACGGGUGCUAAUAUCUGAUGAGGUCUAAGGAUCAAAGCUUCGGCGGAUAGGGAUGAGCCUGCGGCUGAUUAGCUAGUUGGUGAGGUAAUGGCUCACCAAGGCGACGAUCAGUAGCUGGUCUGAGAGGACGAACAGCCACACUGGAACUGAGACACGGUCCAGACUCCUACGGGAGGCAGCAGUGAGGAAUAUUGGUCAAUGGGAGCAAUCCUGAACCAGCAAUGCCGCGUGUGGGAUGAAGGGGCUUCGCCUCGUAAACCACUGUCGGAUGGGACGAAAAGAGGUAUUAACCUCUGGGACGGUACCAUC